CUAAAAUUCUAAAAAAUUUGCAUUUGAAAAAUUAGGUUGUUUUGAUGCUGACUAUAUUGUCUGAAACAAAUGGAACCAACUGUAUAAAUCCUGGAUGAGCCCGGGAAAUAUCCCAUUAUGAACACAACAGAUUUGAGAUCCUCAGGGCUCCUGGGGUUGUUCAUUUAUCAUCUAUCAUCUACUAAGAGUAGGAAGCUCAAAAUAAGGACAUUGACACUUUAACCAGCAUUCUUGGUAUUUCCCGUGCACAGUGCUGGGGAUACAAAAGAAUGAGCUUCCGCCUCUACCGGGGCAGUAGUUAAGGCAUCCAAAUUAUUUGUUGUGGAGAGGGGAGUCAAAUCUGUGUAAGCCCCGACACGAGUCAGAGACCUCAGAAAUUCAGGAUUUCCACCUCAACCAGAGAUACCUAGAAGGUAUGUGAACAUAUGUGGUCCUGCACUGCAGAGCAACAAAUAGUAGAGACCUGCCUGUGUUUGGUGGAGUGGGGGUGGGGAGGGUGGGGGGAGGGGAAAGAUUCAGGGAAUUUUCUGAGCAAUACUUUUUGUUUUCAGUAACACAUCAUUUUAUAAUGAAGCAUUUCUUACUGCAAAAUUUCUGCCUGUUUUCACCGGUAGGACACUAUUCAGAUGGAUGUGACACAUUUUGGCUGAAAUGGGUGAAUGUGAAGAUUGAUUCCAGUGGUCUUCCAGUCAGACUGUAAAGCAGAAGAGUUGAGAUUGACAAUAUUUUAUUGGUGUGAGGAAGAAAAGAGCCAGAUUAUUCUUUGCCAAGUUAUGUGACUAUGGAGUACCAUUCUAAUAUUUCUAACUCUCUUACCACUUCACUACUGAUAUUGUGGCAGGAUUUGUAAUACCAUUAGGCCGUGAUGCCAAAAGCAAUUCUUUUAAGGAGUGUGACACUGAAUAUAUGCUCUGGCAAAUGGCGCCUUCAGUUGGAAAGUAUUAAUGUGUCAGAAAUCUUCCAGAAUCUUUUACAGAGAAUGUCUUGACCAAAAAGUGACAAAUGAGAAAAUAGUGCUUGAACCUGUUUAACAUAGCAUUGAGACAGAAAAAUCUCAACAGUAAAUGCCUUUUUGUGCAACGACUGAUCUCUGUUUUAUAGUAAUGGAAGUCACAAGCAAUCAUUGAAAUCAGUUGGAACUACAGCCCUGUAAGUUAGAUGUCAUAGAAAUAAAAAAAAGUGCAAGAUAUUUUUAUUGGGUCA
rnacentral:lncRNA from 1 species